UCAGACAUGCUGCCAAUCCUCGGAGGUUCAGAUUCGCAGCGUGAUAUCGGGACCGACCGGCAUCCAGAGCACAGGACUGCGACAUAGUGGCACGUAGCGAUUUGGAUGGCGACGGUUAUCAUUCGGCGACGUCGCAGGAACGCGCGAGGUGCUAUCGAUCAACGUGUGUCGUCGUUAACGUCAUCAAGGAAAGCCUCGCGCGAUAUCUAAUAAAUGGAAGAUCUUCCUACGCGAAUUCGCCCUCCGACCAGGCGUACCCGGGGCAACCUUCUCCACGGCGAUCUCCUGCGUUUCGAUUCAAGGUUCUCCUAGCAACUGUAGAUGUCAGCUGCGCCGAGGUUAGCUCGUCCGGUCACGAUGACAACAAACGACGAUUCUCCAAUACGGAGACUCUUUCCAAGGCGCACCUUUAAGGCUACAUCGCAAUGUUGGAUUUCUUUUUGCACAAUCGGAUAUUCUGCGUUUUAUCAGCAUCCUUUUCCAAAAAAAGUUUGUUCUAACAAAAAUUGAAAAAAAUACAUUUAAUAUUAA